GCCGCUGAUAAUUAAACGGGAAGCUGGUGAGUCUCUUUCAAUAUUAAGCGUGACAAAUCCAACACUGCCCCCGCAACGGUAAUCGAGAAAAAUUAGUUCACAUGCCACUGUGAUUUUUCAUGGGAAGGCGAACUAAAUAUAACUUUCUCGUAAGUCCGGAGACCGGCCUAUUGCAUU
rnacentral:ncRNA from 1 species